UGCGUAGGUGGCGAGGUAAGUCGGAUGUGAAAUCUCGGAGCUCAACUCCGAAACGGCAUUGGAAACUACCUUGCUCGAGGGUUGGAGGGGGGACUGGAAUUCUCGGUGUAGCAGUGAAAUGCGUAGAUAUCGAGAGGAACACCGGUGGCGAAGGCGAGUCCCUGGACAACUCCUGACACUGAGGCACGAAAGCUAGGGGAGCAAACAGGAUUAGAUACCCUGGUAGUCCUAGCCGUAAACGGUGCAUGCUUGCUGUAAAAGGAAUCGACCCCUUUUGUGGCGGAGCCAACGCGUUAAGCAUGCCGCCUGGGAAGUACGGUCGCAAGAUUAAA
rnacentral:rRNA from 1 species